CAGCGUUGAAGCAAGUGAUGGGGUCAGCAUGCCGUACACUUGUGGAGCUUUGACCGAGGGUUAGGCGGUUUCCACAGGCUGACGUAGGGUUUUUCCCGAAUGAAAACGCCUCUU
rnacentral:sRNA from 12 species